GACGAACGCUGGCGGCGUGCUUAACACAUGCAAGUCGAGCGGAGCGGCGAACGGGUGAGUAACGCGUGAGUAACUGCCCCCCUCUCUGGGAUAACAGUUGGAAACGGCUGCUAAUACCGGAUAGUGGGGGAUGACUCGCGUCCUAUCAGCUUGUUGGUGGGGUAGUGGCCUACCAAGGCGACGACGGGUAGCCGGCCUGAGGGGGCGACCGGCCACGUGGGGCUGGGAGACGGCCCAGAAGCGUACGGGGGGCAGCAGUGGGGAAUAUUGCACAAGGGGGGAGACCCUGAUGCAGCAACGCCGCGUGCGGGAUGACGGUCUGCGGGUGGUAAACCGCUUGCAGCCAUGAUGCGGUAGUGGCAGAAGAAGCACCGGCUAACUACGUGCCAGCAGCCGCGUAAUUC
rnacentral:rRNA from 1 species